GCAUUUGCAGUUGGAGAGAGAAGAUGGACUGCAGCUACCCGAUGCAUCGUGCGUGCCUCACCUCCAUCUGCACUUAGACAGAGAGAUGGACUGGCGCCUAUGACGCCCUGGUCGACUACGCGGUCGCCGCCGUCCGCGAGCCCGGGUGCACGGUGGCUCUCACAGACUUCCACCACUGCGUCGACGCUUCAGCGAGUCCUGCGACCGAGCCGACGGCCUCGUCCAGGUGGCCGCCGCCGGCCUCGGCCCCGCCGCCUCCCGCCACAACGAGAUGUUCCGCGCGCUCAUGGACCUCCACCGCUGCCUCGACGCCUUCAGCGAUUCCCGCGACUGAGCCAAGGGCCUCGUCCAGGCGGCCGCCACGGCCGCGCCGCCUCCCGUCACGACAAGCUGUUCCGUGCCGUGCGCGUGGUCGACAAAGAUCUCCGGGCCGCCGCUGCCGGCUGGGAGAAGAAUCGCCCUCCGACCACGCCACUGGCAGCCGAGGACAAAUAGCCCAAUCAAUCUACCCCGUCUCCUAUUCAGGUGAUGUUUAUCAUUCUUGUUUUUUCCAUGUGAUGUUCAUCGUUCCUCUUAUUUUCUCGGUUGAUGUGCUAAUCAUGUUAGUCAAAGAUGAAUGAAACUGUGACGGGAAAGGAGAGAUGGACCGGGAUAUUUUUCCUCGGCAUGUCGCAUGGUGGCCGAGAUGCGGCAGCCCCAUGCUCUGUUCUGAUGGGCCUCCUCUGCUCGAUGGUUGCCGCUGGUUGAGUUUGGUACAGUUUCCUGUUGUCGCUUGCGUCGAGCCCUAGGUCCGUCUCUCCUUCUCAUUGAGGUUAGUCCACUCUGCUGGGGGGCUGUUAUUCGGGAUCAUAAUGGAGUAGUCCAAGCAUGUGGAGCAGGAAGAUUGGAGAACCUUGCAAAUCCUCUUCAUGCAGAAGCGUUGGCUGCUCUUUAUGGUGCAAAGCUGGCUGCAUCCAAGGGAAUCACUGCCCUCUACUUUGAAACUGAUUCCAUGCUUUUAAAACAAGGGGCAGAGCAGGAAGAACAAGACCGAUCGAUUGUCUACAGAGUGCUAGCGGAGCUCAAGGAUUUCCUGAGCAAAAACUUUUAUCAGACCACAUUUAGCUUUGCUAGUAGGAAUUGUAAUAAUUUAGCUCAUGUACUUGCACACAAAGGAUGUUCUAUGAACCUGUAUGAUGAGCUAAAUGCAGACAAUGUAACUGCUGAUGUAAAAGCUUUAGUGGCGAGCGAGUCAGCUUCGUCCACGUAGUAAUGCGGUUUCUGCAUUUCCUUUCAAAAAAAAAAAAGAGCCUACUUCUCCUGUCGCUGGCGCUUCUUCUUCUCGUCCGUCCCGCUGCUUAACCAACGUGCUUAUGCUUGCUGCCUCGAGUUGUACGAUCUCUUCUGUCGCUGCGUCGUUCGACUCAUCAAGGUUUUCUUCUUUCCUUUCUACUACAUGUGUGUGUUAUACUUUCAGUAUCUUCUGUGUCAUGUCUGCCUUGGUGAUCUUUUAAAUAUAUGUAUGUCGUGCUGAUCGUUUAAAUAUUCCGGAUAUGGUCGGGCGUUGUGUGUUGUUCUUUCUCGUGCUGCUUAUAUUUCGUGUAUGCGUGUGAGCAGGAUGUGUAUGCCUGUUUCCGUUGUUAUACCAGUUUUGGAGGCCGUGGUAACUCGAUACCACUCACGCUCACUCUUUCUGUUGUACACAAGCAUAUUUGUCCAAUUCUCAGACUAAGUUUCUGAAAGAAACCGCAGUUCAUUACAACGCCAAUUAUGGAUAUGGAUCCAUCUUGCUACGCUGGAUGAAGGACUGGAUGUAAUAAGAAUUGCAUGUGACAAAUAGGUGCCUCCUCUAUGCAUAACUUUUGGCUAAUAUCAUUGAAUUUCUCCUGAGAUCUCUCUAGACCUUUCCAAAUGUAUUUUAGUUAGGUGUUUGUAUUAACUAGCAGAAGAAGGGAUGCAAAUGGAAAGAAUUUGAGAUGCAUAAACAUAAAAGCACUAAAAGAUUUGCUUGAAGCAAAGAUGUCUAGCCGGCAUACAUAUGGCAAGAACCUUCAGAGAUUGAUUUCUUUUCACCUGCUAUUCAGAUAUAUACUUGCUCAUAGGUCACAACUCAUGAAGUUACUUCUUUUGGUUUUGAUUUUGAAAUAUAUGUGUCAUAGGUCACGACUGAUGAAGUUACUUCCUUUUGGUGAAGGUCUGAAUAUCAUCAGUAUCUUGGCUGAGAGGCUGACAUUUCGGAAGGUUCUCAUCUGUGUAGCGGGAUUUAAUAUCACUUGCUUCUCAGUCUUCUCCACCCUCGACAUGCGUAGGCCAAAAAGGCGGAGACGAGUCAUGAUCCUCCAGGCUAUGGCUGCUGGUUGCAGACAGGGUUUAAGCACAGGAAUCGCAAAAGUUGUGCCCCAUGAGGCCAGUGACCCCCAUGUGGCCAGCAACUAAAGGCUAGAUUCAUUCUCGUUGAAUGUAACCUGCCUGACAGUAAAUUAGUGUCACAUUGGUAGUUGUCGAUCUUUUAAAAUUUGAUUAACUAAUUUGGGCUCUAACAGAUUCUGUAGUUGUCUGUUGUUUCUUAUUUGCAGGUUAUCUUUAGCUUGGACGAAAAUGAAUGGACGAGCUUCAGUAUGACGAGGAGAGAGCAAUCUUGUUCAGUUUUAAUCGGGACAGAUGAAGGACAACCAUGUAAAAGUGGAGCAGUCAUAGGCCUGUUAUAGAGAUCUUGGUGAAGAACUCGUCACUGCAAUUUUGUCAAAUGGGUGUUGAGAUUGAAGUUUAUGCUUUUGUUGACUUUCUGAUAAAUUACAGCAACAUCGACAAGGUUAUGUGGGAGCCUUUCAUAGAGCCCUCAUAUAUUCAGUUAAAUAUACUUUGAAAUGUGCUGAUCAUGCACUGGAUGUAUCUCCCAGUACUCUGUGUUGCUAAAUUCAAGCAAGCAGCUUAAUGUUUCCAUAUCAGAGCCCUUGAUCGAGUGUGUGAUAAUUCGAGCCUCCAUGGAAGCAUCAACCGGAUCUGGCUGGCCCACAUACGCACGCCUCCUCUUUGCCCGGUGGCUCAUGGAAGCGGUGGCGUACGAUGAUGGCUUCCAUAUGGAGUAGAUGAAUCAUCAUAGAUAGUUCUUAUGUUACAUGUACAAAGGAGAGCAUUGUUUCACGAAAGCAUGGAUUACACCCACGCCAGUGACCAGUGAAGAAAGGGCUCAUGAACAAGAUAAAAAACUUUCAACCAUCUUUUGUUUACAAGGAAAGACGCUUUUUGUUAAAUUAGUCUUGUCGACUUCCGUAUGUAUUAUCGUAUUCUACCUCUUCUAUUAUAUCCAAAUUACUAUAUGAUGUAAUUGACCACUCUUAUUAAGAACUGGGCACAGUGAUUUAUGCUAUCAUUAUCUUAAGUAA